GAAUCACACACUCACUCUCACUCUCUCAUUUGUGAGCGAGUCAGGACUCGGUUGGCUUAAAUGGCGAGUACAUGGAAGACUCGGCUCGACCCGACUCGGGUUGACUCGCAGCGAUGUCCACGGAGGUUAACUUGAGUAGUGGAACUCACCACCUUCCCUUGGUUAAACGCCGUCGUUCCCGGAAUUUGUUCAGGAAUGUGGUGCACAUUUAAUCAUUAUCAGUCCACACUCUGUUCAUAGAGCACAUGCUGGAGAAAGUGAGAAAGUUUUGUGGGAAGCAUUUUCAGAGGCAUCAUCCCAUGCAAUGUUGGGCA